rnacentral:rRNA from 1 species
AUACGGAGGGUGCAAGCGUUAAUCGGAAUUACUGGGCGUAAAGGGCGCGUAGGUGGUUAGGUCAGUCGGAUGUGAAAGCCCCGGGCUCAACCUGGGAAUGCCAUUCGAUACUGCCUAACUAGAGUAUGGUAGAGGGAAGCGGAAUUCCGGGUGUAGCGGUGAAAUGCGUAGAUAUCCGGAGGAACACCAGUGGCGAAGGCGGCUUCCUGGAUCAAUACUGACACUGAGGCGCGAAAGCGUGGGGAGCAAACGGGAUUAGAAACCCCAGUAGUCC